GGAGAGGUGGCCGAGUGGCUGAAGGCGCUCCCCUGCUAAGGGAGUAUAGGGUUUUCCCCUAUCGAGGGUUCGAAUCCCUCUCUCUCCGCCA
rnacentral:tRNA from 1 species